CCUACGGGUGGCAGCAGUGAGGAAUAUUGGUCAAUGGACGCGAGCCUGAACCAGCCAAGUAGCGUGAAGGAUGACUGCCCUACGGGUUGUAAACUUCUUUUAUAAAGGAAUAAAAUGAGGCACGUGUGCCUUUUUGUAUGUACUUUAUGAAUAAGGAUCGGCUAACUCCGUGCCAGCAGCCGCGGUAAUACGGAGGAUCCGAGCGUUAUCCGGAUUUAUUGGGUUUAAAGGGAGCGUAGAUGGGUUGUUAAGUCAGUUGUGAAAGUUUGCGGCUCAACCGUAAAAUUGCAAUUGAUACUGGCAGACUUGAGUACAGUUGAGGUAGGCGGAAUUCGUGGUGUAGCGGUGAAAUGCUUAGAUAUCACGAAGAACACCGAUUGCGAAGGCAGCUUACUAAACUGUGACUGACAUUGAUGCUCGAAAGUGUGGGUAUCAAACAGGAUUAGAUACCCUUGUAGUC
rnacentral:rRNA from 1 species